GACGAACGCUGGCGGCGUGCUUAACACAUGCAAGUCGAACGAUGAAGCUAGAGCUUGCUCUGGUGAAUUAGUGGCGAACGGGUGAGUAACACGUGAGUAACCUGCCCCGAACUCUGGGAUAACUGCUGGAAACGGUAGCUAAUACUGGAUACGACCUACGAAGGCAUCUUCUGUAGGUGGAAAGAAUUUCGGUUCGGGAUGGACUCGCGGCCUAUCAGCUUGUUGGUGAGGUAAUGGCUCACCAAGGCGACGACGGGUAGCCGGCCUGAGAGGGUGACCGGCCACACUGGGACUGAGACACGGCCCAGACUCCUACGGGAGGCAGCAGUGGGGAAUAUUGCACGACGGGCGCAAGCCUGAUGCAGCAACGCCGCGUGAGGGAUGACGGCCUUCGGGUUGUAAACCUCUUUUAGUAGGGAAGAAGCGAAAGUGACGGUACCUGCAGAAAAAGCACCGGCUAACUACGUGCCAGCAGCCGCGGUAA
rnacentral:rRNA from 1 species